rnacentral:rRNA from 1 species
CAGUAGCCGCGGGAAUACGGAGGGAGCUAGCGUUGUUCGGAAUUACUGGGCGUAAAGCGCGCGUAGGCGGUUACUCAAGUCAGAGGUGAAAGCCCGGGGCUCAACCCCGGAACUGCCUUUGAAACUAGGUGACUAGAAUCUUGGAGAGGUCAGUGGAAUUCCGAGUGUAGAGGUGAAAUUCGUAGAUAUUCGGAAGAACACCAGUGGCGAAGGCGACUGACUGGACAAGUAUUGACGCUGAGGUGCGAAAGCGUGGGGAGCAAACAGGAUUAGAUACCCGGUAGUCCCUGUCUCUUAUACA